CCGGCCCGGCCGCGCGGGCUCCGUGCGGUCCGCGCCGCCGCUCCUGCUCGCCCUGGCAGCGCCGGUGGGUCCGGCCCGGCUGCGAGGAUGGGACCGGCGUGCAGAGCUCCGGAGCUCGCAGAGAAAGGCAGCGGGCGCGGAGAGUCACCCCGGGUGGCGUUGCUUGUGAGGAGGCGGUGUCUCCGGGGAGAAAGGCGAAAGCGCUCAGUCACCGCGGUGUGACCGUCAUCGGGAAACUUCAUUUUCCGACGGGAGCGGGAAAGUUUGGUGAUUGGAAGAUACUAAAACAAGAGAGUCUGCUAACAAGAAAUAAAAGCAAUGUCAAGCACUUCUAAACUUCUUCAAAAUUACAGAAAAUGUCAAAAGAAUGGUGAAAACAAUAUUCAAAUGACAACUGUAGAAACAUGCAAAUUACAAUCAUGUCAGGUUGUUCCAGGUGAUCCCAGAUACUGAGGAGACUGCUGAAACCUGUGGAAUGAUGUAUGUGUUCUUUUACACAGGAGAACUUUAUAUGAUAAGCAUACGUAAGUGGAAGAUGUAGACUACAGACAGAUACAGAGAAGCCUCAGAGUUGGAAAAAGUCAGAAUUUUAUGGAUUGAGCUCUUUACUCCCAAGGGUUAACACGUGCCAUCUUGGAGAAACUCAUCUUGGAGAAGUUAUGAAUCUUUCUGAAGUGGAAGUUAUCACCUGGCUAAGGAAAUAUUUGCAAGAGUUUAGUAAAUAAAAUCUCCAAAACCUGCCUCUCCUGGGAUGUGGCUUGAUCACUCUUUGCUACACUUCACAGCUGCUACCUUCAGGAAAGAUAUUAACUGUGAAAAUAGUGAGGCACCAAAACAGGCUUCUCCACGGUGUUCUGGAUGUUCCAUCCCUGGAAGUGUUCAAGGCCAGCUUGGGCAAGCUUUGGGCAACCUUGUCAAGUGAAAGGUGUUCCGGCCUGUGUCAGUGGGUGGUUGGCACCAGAUGAUCUUUAAGACCCUUGCCAACCCAAGCCACUCUAUAAGCUGUGAAGGGCUGUGAUUGGCUGGCUUUUGUUCUUGUUUUUAUUUAAAGCACCUGUUGGUUACCUUUCAAAGAUGGCUAAAUCAAAUAAAAUCAAAUUAAGACAGUAGAAUAUUUAAUAUAAUUUUAAAUUUGGUUCUGCUCUGCAUCUGUAGAUGAAUCUGCCAGAUGAAAAUGCAGCUUUUCAGAAUAGCAAACUGUAUUCAAACAAAAGAUUAAGCAUUAGGCUUUUGGUAGAUAUAACUCAGAGAAGAAUGUGAAAGGAAAAAUGUAACUAUGCUAUGCUUAAUCUGUAACUUAGACUGAAUAUUUCACUUCACUUUGAUUGCAAGUGCAAGAUCUAGCAUUAGUCACUGAUAUGAGGUCUUAAGUUAAACAAGUAUAAAAGCAGCAUCCUUAUAAAGUGGGAAGAAAAAUGAUUACUUACAGUAAAAGGAAAAAAAAAGACUUUUUUAAAAAAAGAAUGGCUUUCAUGUUUUUGUGUCUUUCUUUUUCCUGGCUAUAACAAAAAGGAGCUACUCUGAAUUAAGAGAUCCAUAAUGUCUUUAUAACUGCUCAUGAAUUAUUUUUUUUCUUUAAUAAAAAAAAAUGUUUUUCUUCUUAACUACUCAUUCCAUAUAGCCUCAGGGAACAUGAUUUUUUCUCUACAAAAACUGAGGAAUUUGUAUUGUUUAAAAUAACCAUUGAAAUGGUCUUUUCAAUUUCCUUUGAUAACUUCACAAACAUUAACUUUUUCAGCAUUUAUACAUUACAGGAGGAAAUUUCCUAGAAAAAUAUCCAAAACAUCCCAAGUGACAUUUAAUUUUUUUUUUUUUUUAUUACUCAAACUGUUAUUUGCUCUGUUGACAUUUAGUGAUGAUUCUAUCAUGAUUCACUUGAUAAUUUUAUUUCUUUUUAGAAGUAGGUAGGGUUGGAACAGUGCUCCUGUUUCAUAUAGCAUCUAACCCAGUUUGAAUGCUAGAGAAAUAGAUUCAAACAGAAAUCAAUAAUAAUAAUGUGUGACAUGGGCAGAUCACAGCUG